GCUCGAUACUGAAAUUAGUCACCGUGGAGUUGGCCAAGUAAAAUACUGAUAACUCGAUAAGAUAGAAGAUUCAUCGGAAGUAACAGAGUAAUCUCGGACGUGUGUAACCUAAUCGACGUAACAUUCUUCGAGUGCGCGCGAUCAAACGUCUCGAUCACGAACCGAAUGACGACGAGCGAUCAUAGCGAUUUUCUUCUCUCGUCUUAUUUCGUCCAGCAGAACUGUGAAUAUUGCGUCUGCUGAUUGCUGCUGCUGCUGCUACUACCAUACCAGCUGGACUAGACCGAAUGAUUUUCGUUGAAGACGGUCGAUGGGUCGACGCGAUAAGGAGAAUGUUCGGAGAAAUCUGCUGACGGUGGUCAAUGGUGACACGCUCGUAGUAGGACGACGUAGGACGAUAAACAGCUGCGGCGGAGGAGAGUGCUGCUCCGGGUAAAAUACGUACGGACAAAACGUAUAUUUCGCCUAAAUCGGGAUCGAUCGUAGCACGCUGCGUGAAACCAGCCGCAGAUCGUCUCGUGUGUACGAGCACACGCAAGGAACGAAAUGUUCGUGUUUACGCGCGGCGCACCGUGACGUGAGUGGACGAUGUACAUACGUACUGGAUGAAACAACAUGGCGUGACCGGCUCUGGAUUUGAUGGUCGGCGCACCGAUAGGGCAGGGCCUCGCGACGUCGCAGGCGAGUCUGU